GGGGAGAUGCCAGAGUAGGUCUAUCGGGAUCGCCUGCUAAGCGAUUAAGGGGGCUUAAAACCUCCUUCGUGGGUUCGAAUCCCACUCUCCCCG
rnacentral:tRNA from 1 species